GACCGCGUAGCUCAGUUGGAAGAGCAUUGGGCUAGUAUUCCAAAGGUCGUAGGUUCGAAUCCCACCGUGGUUG